rnacentral:rRNA from 1 species
UACGUAGGGUGCGAGCGUUAAUCGGAAUUACUGGGCGUAAAGCGUGCGCAGGCGGUUCGUUGUGUCUGUGGUGAAAGCCCCGGGCUUAACCUGGGAAUGGCCAUGGAAACUGGCGAGCUGGAGUGUGGCAGAGGGGGGUGGAAUUCCGCGUGUAGCAGUGAAAUGCGUAGAGAUGCGGAGGAACACCGAUGGCGAAGACAGCCCCCUGGGUUGACACUGACGCUCAGGCACGAAAGCGUGGGGAGCAAACAGG